rfam:Salmonella enterica subsp. enterica serovar Macclesfield str. S-1643 chromosome, complete genome.
UGUUGGUUCUCCCGCAACGCUACUCUGUUUACCAGGUCAGGUCCGGAAGGAAGCAGCCAAGGCAGAUGACGCGUGUGCCGGGAUGUAGCUGGCAGGG